GGAUCAAGGGCUGGCGGUUCACCUGGUCCUGGGAGCCCGCACCUGCGGCCUCCCGGAAACCGCUGGUUUUCCCUAGAGGUGAGGAAACUAAGGCUCAGAAAAGGCUGUAAUUUCUGUGAAGGCAGGAAACCAUGUUUAUCUUUUUCUGUAGUUAACUCCCUCUACACUUAAGGACUAACUAAAUGAGAAAACAGGCACAAAGAGCUGAAGAAAUUCACCCGAAGUCACACAGUGAGGAAAUGGAGGGUUUCAUCACCUCCAUCCUGAAACACAUCAUUUUCCCCAGCCCCUACCCUCUCCUCUUCCUCCCUUGUACCCUGCCACUGGCCUGUCACCUCCUUCCCCCUCCCCACACCUACUGAGGGGACCACAGUGGUGCUGUGCUGGGGGGAGAAGUCAGUGCGGCCUGGGAUCUGAGCCCCUCUGGUUUCCUUAAUCCCUAACCUGGUCCCUGCCCUCCACCCCCCAUCCCAGAGACCUGGAUGAUUCCUUUGAGGAUCAAAGCUAGAGACAGAGGAAAGAGAAGCAGCCAGUUCCUGUCCCCCUGGGCAUAUCUGUCACCUCUGGAAAAGUCAGCUGGGGUGGUGUAUGUCCCUGCUACAUAGGACAGGCAGGGCUGGGGAAGAUGGAGCUCCUUCUCCUUGCCCCACCCUGUCAGAUGCCUAAGAUGGGAGGUUGAGAGGGGCCUGCCCUGGGGACUGCGCUGCCAGGUUUUCUGCUUCCAAGUUCUUCCCGGCUCCCCCUCCCCUGCUGCUUCGGGGAAGUGCCCCCUCCACCACCACCACCACCACUAUCCUGCUGGCUUUCCAGAUCUUUGAAUAAAUAAUUCAGGUUUUGAAAUCUUGCCAGGCCCACCCCUCCCGUGCUGAGAGGGCGCUAUUGGGCGGACAUGAGUGACGUCACCCAGCUCCUUACCCCAGGCCCAGCAUCACGAGGACCUGCCCUGGCAGCAGCUCACCUGCCUGGCCACUGUCAGUCCAGACCCUCUACCCUGUCCCUCUCACCCUGGGGCUCAUUCAAAACAGUCACCCAGUAUCUUCAUUCUAGGACCUUACAAUCCUUUACACUUUGUUUUGUCACCUCAGUACCUCAGUGACAGGGUCAGGGUGACCUGAGGUCCUAUCAUCUGGACACUCCACCUUCCCUUUCCCUCGGCAGUGUCUCUGCCCCAUGGGAUCCCUGAGCCCCAUCAUGUCACAGUCACCCUGACACUGCUAUAGUUGCCCUGGGGGCUUCCUUUUCUAUGCAUGGCAGCGUCCCUUGGCCACCAUCCCCCAAGAUCCUGUCACCAUGCUCAUACUGUCACUGCCACCCACUUCCCUGCUCCCUCGUGCUGCUGUCACCACCACCUCAGGGCCCCAUCAUCUUGGCAACCCCCGUCAUCCUCACUGAGGACGCUCAUUCAGCCUCAUCACUCGGUCUCCGUCACCCGAAUUCCGUCCGUCCCUGCCAUCUGAGGGUCCCAUCACCCCACAGCCUUUCGGGGUCCCCUAUCUGCUUCCCCUUGCAUAUUCCCUACAACCUCCCCGGGACUUUUCCAAGGCUCUCCCACCUGCGCCCCCCGAAAUCCCGGCCCGCAGAGGGCGCCGCGUCAAGGACAGCGCGGGCCGAGU